rnacentral:rRNA from 1 species
GACGAACGCUGGCGGCGUGCUUAACACAUGCAAGUCGAACGGAAAGGCCCUGCUUUUGUGGGGUGCUCGAGUGGCGAACGGGUGGGUAACACGUGAGUAACCUGCCCUUGACUUUGGGAUAACUUCAGGAAACUGGGGCUAAUACCGGAUAGGAGCUCCUGCUGCAUGGUGGGGGUUGGAAAGUUUCGGCGGUUGGGGAUGGACUCGCGGCUUAUCAGCUUGUUGGUGGGGUAGUGGCUUACCAAGGCUUUGACGGGUAGCCGGCCUGAGAGGGUGACCGGCCACAUUGGGACUGAGAUACGGCCCAGACUCCUACGGGAGGCAGCAGUGGGGAAUAUUGCACAAUGGGCGGAAGCCUGAUGCAGCAACGCCGCGUGCGGGAUGACGGCCUUCGGGUUGUAAACCGCUUUCGCCUGUGACGAAGCGUGAGUGACGGUAAUGGGUAAAGAAGCACCGGCUAACUACGUGCCAGCAGCCGCGGUGAUACGUAGGGUGCGAGCGUUGUCCGGAUUUAUUGGGCGUAAAGGGCUCGUAGGUGGUUGAUCGCGUCGGAAGUGUAAUCUUGGGGCUUAACCCUGAGCGUGCUUUCGAUACGGGUUGACUUGAGGAAGGUAGGGGAGAAUGGAAUUCCUGGUGGAGCGGUGGAAUGCGCAGAUAUCAGGAGGAACACCAGUGGCGAAGGCGGUUCUCUGGGCCUUUCCUGACGCUGAGGAGCGAAAGCGUGGGGAGCGAACAGGCUUAGAUACCCUGGUAGUCCACGCUGUAAACGGUGGGUACUAGGUGUGGGGUCCAUUCCACGGGUUCCGUGCCGUAGCUAACGCUUUAAGUACCCCGCCUGGGGAGUACGGCCGCAAGGCUAAAACUCAAAGGAAUUGACGGGGCCCCGCACAAGCGGCGGAGCAUGCGGAUUAAUUCGAUGCAACGCGUAGAACCUUACCUGGGUUUGACAUGGAUCGGGAGUGCUCAGAGAUGGGUGUGCCUCUUUUGGGGUCGGUUCACAGGUGGUGCAUGGCUGUCGUCAGCUCGUGUCGUGAGAUGUUGGGUUAAGUCCCGCAACGAGCGCAACCCUUGUUCACUGUUGCCAGCACGUUAUGGUGGGGACUCAGUGGAGACCGCCGGGGUCAACUCGGAGGAAGGUGGGGAUGACGUCAAGUCAUCAUGCCCCUUAUGUCCAGGGCUUCACGCAUGCUACAAUGGCUGGUACAGAGAGUGGCGAGCCUGUGAGGGUGAGCGAAUCUCGGAAAGCCGGUCUCAGUUCGGAUUGGGGUCUGCAACUCGACCUCAUGAAGUCGGAGUCGCUAGUAAUCGCAGAUCAGCAACGCUGCGGUGAAUACGUUCCCGGGGCU